GUGGGCGGUUAAAAAGUGGCAAACGGCUGACAAAGCCUUUAUUGCGCCACGCCUUGAGCACCGUUCCACUGCAGGUUUCAAAAGAGCCUUUUCAGAUCACCUCGAUUUGAAAAGACUCCAGUGCAUUUGCAUUGAAUGCCAAAAUAUCUGAGGACGAUUGCGCGCGGACAUCAAGGGAGCAACUUCGGCUGUGACAAUC
rnacentral:lncRNA from 1 species